UCAGUUUUACCUCCCAUCCAGAGAAGGAGCAGAGGUUGGAAAUGGAAUUAAUAUUGAUUGUGCCUAUGUCCAAAGCUCUCAACCUUGGCUGCAGGGCAGCAUUACCUGGUUUUUCUCCCCUCACAUUCCCUAUCAAGUCCUUGGAGGUUAAAAUCUGACAGCUGAAUAUAAACUGG